rnacentral:rRNA from 1 species
GACGAACGCUGGCGGCGUGCUUAACACAUGCAAGUCGAACGGAAAGGCCCUGCUUUUGUGGGGUGCUCGAGUGGCGAACGGGUGAGUAACACGCGAGUAAACUGCCCUUGACUUUGGGAUAAAUUCAGGAAACUGGGGCUAAUACAGGAUAGGAGAUCCUGCUGCAUGGGGGGGGUAGGAAAGUUUCGGCGGUUGGGGCUGGACUCGCGGCUUAUCAGCUUGUUGGUGGGGUAGUGGCUUACAAAGGUUUUGACGGGUAGCCGGCCUGGGAGGGUGACCGGCGACAUUGGGACUGAGAGACGGACCAGACUCCUACGUGAGGCAGCAGUGGGGAAUAUUGCACAAUGGGCGGAAGCCUGAUGCAGCAACGCCGCGUGCGGGAUGACGGCCUUCGGGUUGUAAACCGCUUUCGCCUGUGACGAAGCGUGAGUGACGGUAAUGGGUAAAGAAGCACCGGCUAACUACGUG